CACGCAUGUAUCUAAAUAUCAAAGUGUGUCCAUUACUGAUUUAUUUAUUGUUGUAGGACAUGCCUCUUCCAGGUAUAUUCCCUGAAUCACAUGAAACCCAUAGAUCAGGAAGAUAAAUGUUUAAAAUUGGAUGUUCUAAAAAAAACGAACUUAUUUGCCAUGUAAUUGAUCAGACAUGGUUUCGGUUUGUAAAGGAUAGCUUUAGAUGUGAAACUUAGGACACAAAUCAAGAAGAAAGGUCUCUUCAUCAUACUUGAUAGAGAUAACGACUGAUGUGAAAGACGUCUCACAGGGAACGUAGCAGUGCACAAAUUACUUAAUGUGUGACAGUGGAAU